AGUAUAAUUGCUGGCCAUAUAAAAAUUCCAUGUUUAGUUUUUAAAGAAACUGCUGAACUUUUUUCCACAAUUGUCAUAUUAUUUUUACAUUCACACAAGCAAU
rnacentral:pre_miRNA from 1 species